rnacentral:rRNA from 1 species
GAUCAUGACUCAGGAUGAACGCUAGCUACAGGCUUAACACAUGCAAGUCGAGGGGCAGCAUGGUCUUAGCUUGCUAAGGCUGAUGGCGACCGGCGCACGGGUGAGUAACACGUAUCCAACCUGCCGUCUACUCUUGGCCAGCCUUCUGAAAGGAAGAUUAAUCCAGGAUGGCAUCAUGAGUUCACAUGUCCGCAUGAUUAAAGGUAUUUUCCGGUAGACGAG